rnacentral:rRNA from 1 species
AAGGUCCCUAAAUGUAAGUUAAGUGGUAAAGGAUGUGGGAUUGCACAGACAACCAGGAUGUUGGCUUAGAAGCAGCCACUCAUUCAAAGAGUGCGUAAUAGCUCACUGGUCGAGUGAUCCUGCGCCGAAGAUUUCCGGGGCUAAAACUUACUACCGAAGCUACGGCAUCAGUAAUGAUGGGUAGGGGAGCUUCCCAUACGGGUUGAAGCAUGACCGUAAGGACAUGUGGACAGUAUGGGAGUGAGAAUGUUGGCAUGAGUAGCGAGAUGUGGGUGGGAAUCCCACAGGCCGUAAACCCAAGGUUUCCAGGGGAAGGUUCGUCCACCCUGGGUUAGUCGGGACCUAAGCUGAGGCCGAAAGGCGUAGGUGAUGGACAACAGGUUGAUAUUCCUGUACUACCGAUAACCGUUUGAGAGAAGGGAUGACACAGUAGGAUAAGCUAAGCACACUG